GACGAACGCUGGCGGCGUGCUUAACACAUGCAAGUCGAACGGAAAGGCCCUGCUCUUGUGGGGUGCUCGAGUGGCGAACGGGUGAGUAACACGCGAGUAACCUGCCCUUGACUUUGGGAUAACUUUAGGAAACUGGGGCUAAUAUCGGAGAGGAGCUCCUGCUGCAUGGUGGGGGUUGGAAAGUUUCGGCGGUUGGGGAUGGACUCGCGGGUUAUCAGCUUGUUGGUGAGGUAGGGGCGUACCAAGGCUUUGACGGGUAGCCGGCCUGAGAGGGUGGCCGGCCACAAUGGGCCUGAGGGACGGAGCAGAAGCGUACGGGCCGCAGCAGUGGAGAAUAUUGCGCAAUGGGCCGAAGCCAGAUGCAGCGACGCCGCGUGCGGGAUACCGUCUUACGAGUUAUAAACCGCUUUCGCCUGUGACGAAGCGUGAGUGACGGUAAUGGGUAAGAAAGCACCGGCUAACUACGUG
rnacentral:rRNA from 1 species